rnacentral:ncRNA from 1 species
AAAAAUGCAUUGAUCGGAAAGAGUAGCGAUCUUACGCGAUUUUCAGAGAGAGGGCACCUGUGCUGAAAUGCCCUUAAGGCUGCGUGUCGUGAAGUGCGUCCGUGAGCAGGCGAAGGGAAAAAGAGUAUCUUCGCACGUUUUCCGCGUUAAGGAUAAUGAGUUAUAAAACGAAGUGGAACCGCGUACUCACGCCUUCGCA